AGAGAAGACCCAAAACUAUAAAAGAAAAAGGAGAAAAAAAGAGAGAGAAGAAAAUCAACUUCCACCACCCUUGAUAGUAUUCCAUAUUUUUGCAUGAAGUGUCAAGCAAUGAUGAUGAAAAGAUAAUUCAUGCUACAACUGGUGCAAAAGCAAAGAGAAAUUUGGAAAAUGACUAGUCGUUCUCCUUUGUACAAGGUAGAGGAAAUUAGUUUGUAGUUAGUUUUUCUAUUUUGCUUCUACUGCGGUGUCCAACCGAGGUGUCCUUGUGUGUUGUAUAGUAGGAGGCAAAAGCAUGUGUAGCUAGUUGCUAGCCAGGAGUUUGUUAUUUCAUUUCGUGUAUAUAUGUUGCUCUACACUC
rnacentral:lncRNA from 1 species